rnacentral:sRNA from 1 species
ACGCAGAUGUCCCUCGAUGUGUCCGU